rnacentral:lncRNA from 1 species
UCCAGACUUCGAUUCUUUCUCUUCCUCUGUUUCCUUGCACCCCAAGAAAAGAAAAGCAAUUUAGUGUCAAAUUUUAAAAAGAACCUGUAAAAUCUUGAGCAAGCAUUAAAGAAAGUUAUCAGUGUAGGACAUAAAUGUUUUCCCAAAUAAAAAAGGAAAGAUGUUUCCUAGCUAUCCUUCAGAGUAUUCCAAAAAAUGGAAGGAUGUUUCCUAGCUAUAUUUUAAGCAAGCUCGCAUACACAGAACAUAUCAAUUCUAUCAUACACAUAAGUCAAACAAAAGCAUCGGAGCCAAUAAUAACACGGAAUUGAAAACCCAUUAACCAAUUUAUUAACAUAUAUUUUUGUGUAGAUCGCUACCUCUGUAUUCUUAAUUUAUCAACUUAAUUAAAAUUAUUAAUUCUCUUAUUUCUGUCAAUACCCCUCCAACUCUAGAAUGAUAAACAAAAAAAUUCUCAAUUUCUUAUAUCUCACAAAGAAAAGCACAUGCAUCUCCAUUUCAGCUCUUAAAACUAAAAGAAAAUAUCAAGGUUUCUUGGUUUCUUAGUUUCUUAUCCAAAUCCAUGAAUUUGAACAGUUUAAUAUCGAAUCAUUCAUUGUCGCUAGUUAUUCUAAAAUAUCAAGGUUUUUUGUUAUUAAUAUCAAUAAAACUCAAUUGAGACCUCUCGAAUCAUUUAUUGUGCAUACUGAUGUCAUUUUAAUAUCAAACCUUUUAGGAAUCUAAGCUCAUCAAAACGUAUUUCUGGAAAAAAAUAUAUAUUCCAAAGAAACACUUAAUUUCACAUGAUACAACUAAAAAGGGUAAAAAUACAGCAAUGAACCGACUUUUCAUUCCCAAUGGCCAAUUUUAUAGGAUUCAAGUCAUACAUGGGAAUCAAGAGGAUUGAAGCUGUCAGACAUAAAACAAAGUUACUGAUUGAUGGAAAUGGCCAAAAUAUAAGAUAGAUAAGAAGAAAGUCUACUCAGAAAGUGACUUGCUGCGGUAAAACUUAAUGAGCUUAAGGAACAGUAUUUCAUAAGCAGGAAAGUCAUUAACUUUGGAAAGAUUGAUCCCUCUUGAAGAUACAGCCGAUCAUUGCAAUUAUGUACCACACCUUUCCUAAGAUCUCUCAUGCAUGUCCAAACGAUUAAAAAAUGUAUAAUUUUACUUAUCAUGAAAGGCCAAGGAGAUUACAAUGAUUAUAGUCUGGUGUAAGCAAACCUGAUAUAGUACAACAGAUGCAUACAAUCCAAUUAAAAUGUUCAUGAAAACCGCCAACACGAUACUAUAAACAACCACAAUUAGCCACAAAAUGAUUGUCAAACUAGCAAUAAGGAUGCAAGCUAUUUCAAGAAAUGGACCUUCUCAAGUAAUCAGAUCAUGAUUCAGUCGAUAACAGCCUUUAAGCAGCAUAUAGGGACUCUUUACAACAUCAAUUACAGUAUAAACGGAAUCUCCACGAUCAGCCCCAACACGCCAACUAUAUUACAUCCCAGAAUGUGAAUCAACCUACAAUAUGUCCCUGAAAAGAAUUGAGUUCGGAUUAAAACCGCUCUUUCAAGCAAUGUUAUUUCAAAUGUUUAUAUUAGGCUAUUGCUACAUAAUUUGAUGACAGAAGCAAAACAAUUCGAGUCACUAAUUACAACACGAUUACCUUAUGGUUCAAUUCAAAUGUUUAUACUUGGCAAAAUCAAUCACGAAUGACUGUUCGUAUGUAUCUAAGGUACCGUUUGGU